GCUUUGACAUCCUAGGAAUCAGCUGCCCUGCCUCGAAGACCUGGGAAGCAGCCCAGAAGCUAGGAGGUCAUGUCUUAGAGGAAUUAGGGGUCUGGCCCAAGUCCAUCACUCUAUGAUCAAGCCUACCUUUAACCAGGCUACUGGGCUCCAGGGCUACUAUGGUCUUAGCUCUUAAACAAUGAUGUCCUCCAACAGCAGGGUCAUACAAAUGGUCUACCCAGGCAUGAGGAGGCUUAGAGUCUGUAGGAAAAUGACAAAUAAUAAUAAUAAACUUAUCAGAGCAAUGCUCAGCCAUUGAGUCAUUCUCAUGACAAAGUCAUCUCCAAGGAGUGGGGUGCCCUUGCUGCAGCCCCACCUUAGAAUUGUACCCAUGGUUGCCCCGUCACACUCUUCCUGUGGUCAUGUGAGGGUUUUUCUUGCAAAGAAAGCUACUCUGAGAAAGGAAAUGAGAAGAGGGAAGGUAUCUUGGGUCAGGGAGGCGAGCCUCUGUUAUCCAGUCUCACCAGCCAGGAUGAAAAAACUCAUGGAAAUGUGGUCUCGGUGAUGGGUCAGUUCAUUUACCUCAGGCUGAAAAUAGGUGUGUUUCCCCCAGCAGGUGACUCAGCAGGCCCAAGGAGUUCCUCUAGUAAGAGGAAGUGGGGUGCUCAAGGGCCCUGAUUUCCCCUAGGUGCCACAACAACAGGAAGGGGCUGAUAACAGAACCGUUGCUUGCAUUUCACAACUUCCUGGGCCAGCUGACUUUCUCAUGCUCUCUUCCCACAAGCCAACAGUUCCAAAGCCGUGAGAUUUCUGCUUCUGCCAACCUAGAGCUGAACGGUGCACCAUCUCAGUGACAGCUUCCUUGCAGG
rnacentral:lncRNA from 1 species